rnacentral:rRNA from 1 species
GGGCAGCCUACACAUGCAAGUCGAGCGGNAUGAAGGGAGCUUGCUCCUGGAUUCAGCGGCGGACGGGUGAGUAAUGCCUAGGAAUCUGCCUGGUAGCUGGGGGAUAACGUCCGGAAACGGGCGCUAAUACCGCAUACGUCCUGAGGGANAAAGUGGGGGAUCUUCGGACCUCACGCUAUCANAUGAGCCUAGGUCGGAUUANCUAGUUGGUGGGGUAAAGGCCUACCNAGGCGACNAUCCNUANCUGGUCUGAGAGGAUGAUCAGUCACACUGGANCUGANACACGGUUCCACACUNCUACNGGAGGCAGCANUGGGGAAUAUUGGACAAUGGGCGAAANCCUGAUCCAGCCNUGCCGCGUGUGUGAAGAANGUCUUCNGAUUGUAAAGCACUUUAAGUUGGGAGGAAGGGCAGUAAGUUAAUACCUUGCUGUUUUGACGUUACCAACANAAUAAGCACCGGCUAACUUCGUGCCAGCNGCCGCGGUAAUACGAANGGNGCAAGCNUUNAUCGNAAUUNCUGGGNGUAAAGCGCGCGUANGUGGUUCAGCAAGUU